rnacentral:rRNA from 1 species
UACACUCCUGCGGGAGGCAGCAGUGGGGAAUUUUGGACAAUGGGCGAAAGCCUGAUCCAGCAAUGCCGCGUGAGUGAAGAAGGCCUUCGGGUUGUAAAGCUCUUUUGUCAGGGAAGAAACGGUGAAAGCUAAUAUCUUUUGCUAAUGACGGUACCUGAAGAAUAAGCACCGGCUAACUACGUGCCAGCAGCCGCGGUAAUACGUAGGGUGCAAGCGUUAAUCGGAAUUACUGGGCGUAAAGCGUGCGCAGGCGGUUUUGUAAGUCUGAUGUGAAAUCCCCGGGCUCAACCUGGGAAUUGCAUUGGAGACUGCAAGGCUAGAAUCUGGCAGAGGGGGGUAGAAUUCCACGUGUAGCAGUGAAAUGCGUAGAUAUGUGGAGGAACACCGAUGGCGAAGGCAGCCCCCUGGGUCAAGAUUGACGCUCAUGCACGAAAGCGUGGGGAGCAAACAGGAUUAGAUACCCGUGUAGUCCC